GUGAGGAAUAUUGGUCAAUGGUCGCAAGACUGAACCAGCCAUGCCGCGUGCAGGAAGACGGUCCUAUGGAUUGUAAACUGCUUUUAUACAGGAAGAAACCCUCCCACGUGUGGGAGCUUGACGGUACUGUAGGAAUAAGGAUCGGCUAACUCCGUGCCAGCAGCCGCGGUAAUACGGAGGAUCCAAGCGUUAUCCGGAAUCAUUGGGUUUAAAGGGUCCGUAGGCGGUCUUAUAAGUCAGUGGUGAAAGCCCAUCGCUCAACGAUGGAACUGCCAUUGAUACUGUAGGACUUGAAUGCUUAGGAAGUAACUAGAAUAUGUAGUGUAGCGGUGAAAUGCUUAGAUAUUACAUGGAAUACCAAUUGCGAAGGCAGGUUACUACUAAGUGAUUGACGCUGAUGGACGAAAGCGUGGGGAGCGAACAGGAUUAGAUACCCGGGUAGUCC
rnacentral:rRNA from 1 species